AUUAAUCUAGUUCUUGCCAAUUCUUCUUGAACUUCUUGGUAGAUAUCAAGUCUGUAUUCUGUGUCCGUGAUAGUUUGUCGAGACUUCACUCACCUCAGAUAUCAGAGCUAGUUUCUUCUUUAUUAGAAUGUAGAUUAGUCCUCUACUUGGAAGUAUACUAGCAUUUUAGAGGUUGCGGAUUACCCUCCUCUAAACUGAUACUUCUUUUGUUACAAUAUUCGAGUCUUAUUCUUCUUGG
rnacentral:lncRNA from 1 species